CGGGCAGAGACACAUCUCACAAUACCAGGUCAAUACAAUACUAAGGCUCAAGGCCUUAGUCAACAUGGCCUUGAUCACUGCCUGGGUUGGGACAUCACCUACACCCUCCCUGGGCUCGCAAAAUGGAUGGAUGCAGUUGACGGCAUGACCUUCAUAGAUUAAGGAAAUAUUCUGAGUUGGAAGAGAUCCACUAGGAUUAUCUAGUCCAGCUGUUAUCCCUGCACAGCACAUCCCCAGAAACCACACCAAGUGCCUUCCUUGGACACAAGAGCUGCUGGCAGGCUGCGGAGCAGGACGACGGCUCCUAAGCUGCCCUCCUGUGCACAUGGGAGCCGCAUGAGCGGGCAGCAGGUAGAUAAAGCUAUUACAACAUUAA